UGAAAGUCCAUGGUACACACAUGUCAGCAACAUUUCUUUGGAAAAAUCACAUAAAAAGGGUCCCAAGAUGUAGUCCACCGAGACAGUAGAAUUGUUCUUAUCUGAUAGACCUUGUCAUCAGCAAAAAAAGGUGUUUUGUGAAUGGAAGCAGUGGGUUGAAGUUUAUCUGGAGCAGGGCAUUGUGGCACACCG